rnacentral:rRNA from 1 species
GACGAACGCUGGCGGCGUGCUUAACACAUGCAAGUCGAACGGUGAAGGGACCGGUUUUUGCUGGUUCUGGAUGAGUGGCGAACGGGUGAGUAACACGUGAGUAACCUGCCCCCUUCUUCUGGAUAACCGCAUGAAAGUGUGGCUAAUACGGGAUAUUCUGCGCCUGCUGCAUGGUGGGUGUGGGAAAGAUAUUGUUUCGGUGGGGGAUGGGCUCGCGGCCUAUCAGCUUGUUGGUGGGGUGAUGGCCUACCAAGGCGGUGACGGGUAGCCGGCCUGAGAGGGUGGACGGUCACACUGGGACUGAGACACGGCCCAGACUCCUACGGGAGGCAGCAGUGGGGAAUAUUGCACAAUGGGCGCAAGCCUGAUGCAGCGACGCCGCGUGAGGGAUGGAAGCCUUCGGGUUGUAAACCUCUUUCGCCAGUGAAGCAGGCCUGUCCCUUUUGUGGGUGGGUUGACGGUAGCUGGAGAAGAAGCGCCGGCUAACUACGUG